GUGGUCUGGGGAAAGGGCUCCUGUGUUGUUGAAACUGCCCUGCGGUGGGUGCAGCCCUAUACCAGGCAGCCCCAUCUUGGCCUAAAGUAAAUUCCCAGGAGUUUGUCCUAGGUUUUGAAUUUGCAGUAAAAGGUAUGAAGAUUCUAACAGCAGUUUGAUGAUCAUGUAUGAUACUGCAAAUAGCA